AUAUUGCGCAAUGGGGGAAACCCUGACGCAGCAACGCCGUGUGAGUGAGGAAGGCCCUCGGGUUGUAAAACUCUGUCAAGGUGGAAGAAUGGCCUACGUUCUAAUAGGGCGUAGGUUUGACGGUACACCUAGAGGAAGCACCGGCUAACUUCGUGCCAGCAGCCGCGGUAAUACGAAGGGUGCAAGCGUUGUUCGGAUUUAUUGGGCGUAAAGCGCGCGCAGGCGGAUAGGCAAGUCAGAUGUGAAAUCUCGGGGCUCAACCCCGAAACUGCGUCUGAAACUGCAUAUCUAGAAUCUCGGAGAGGGAGGCGGAAUUUCGCAUGUAGGGGUAAAAUCCGUAGAGAUGCGAAGGAACACCAGAGGCGAAGGCGGCCUCCUGGACGAGUAUUGACGCUGAGGCGCGAAAGCGUGGGGAGCAAA
rnacentral:rRNA from 1 species